rnacentral:rRNA from 1 species
AAUCAACGCUGGCGGCGUGCCUCAGACAUGCAGGUCGAACGCGAAAGUCCCCUUCGGGGGAUGAGUAGAGUGGCGUCCGGGUGAGUAACACGUAGGUAAUCUACCUUUGGGUGGGGAAUAACCCCGAGAAAUCGGGGCUAAUACCGCAUAAUGCAGCGGCACCACAUGGUGACAGUUGUUAAAGCGGGGGAUCGCAAGACCUCGCGCCUAAAGAGGAGCCUGCGGCGGAUUAGCUAGNGGUAGGGUAACGGCCUACCAAGGCAACGAUCCGUAGCCGGCCUGAGAGGGCGGUCGGCCACACUGACACUGAAAUACGGGUCAGACUCCUACGGGAGGCAGCAGGUCGGGAAUUUUGGGCAAUGGGCGGAAGCCUGACCCAGCAACGCCGCGU